rnacentral:rRNA from 1 species
GAUGAACGCUGACAGAAUGCUUAACACAUGCAAGUCAACUUGAAUUUGGGUUUUUAACUUAGGUUUGGGUGGCGGACGGGUGAGUAACGCGUAAAGAACUUGCCUCACAGCUAGGGACAACAUUUGGACACGAAUGCUAAUACCUAAUAUUAUGAUAAUAGGGCAUCCUAUAAUUAUGAAAGCUAUAAGCGCUGUGAGAGAGCUUUGCGUCCCAUUAGCUAGUUGGAGAGGUAACGGCUCACCAAGGCGAUGAUGGGUAGCCGGCCUGAGAGGGUGAUCGGCCACAAGGGGACUGAGACACGGCCCUUACUCCUACGGGAGGCAGCAGUGGGGAAUAUUGGACAAUGGACCAAGAGUCUGAUCCAGCAAUUCUGUGUGCACGAUGAAGUUUUUCGGAAUGUAAAGUGCUUUCAGUUGGGAAGAAAGAAAUGACGGUACCAACAGAAGAAGUGACGGCUAAAUACGUGCCAGCAGCCGCGGUAAUACGUAUGUCACGAGCGUUAUCCGGAUUUAUUGGGCGUAAAGCGCGUCUAGGUGGUUAUGUAAGUCUGAUGUGAAAAUGCAGGGCUCAACUCUGUAUUGCGUUGGAAACUGUAUAACUAGAGUACUGGAGAGGUAAGCGGAACUACAAGUGUAGAGGUGAAAUUCGUAGAUAUUUGUAGGAAUGCCGAUGGGGAAGCCAGCUUACUGGACAGAUACUGACGCUGAAGCGCGAAAGCGUGGGUAGCAAACAGG